CAGAAACUGGGGGACCCAAAGAGCAGGAAAGUCAGCCCAGACCUGGCCCGAGUCCACAGGAGCUGCUGCCCACUUGCAAAUGAAUCACAGUCACUUCCCCAAAGUUUUCCACCCGGACCGAAAAGCAGCCCCAGCCACCUCCUAGCAGACCUCUCUGGGCGGGCUGCGCUGGGAGAGCGCCCGCCCCGCCCCCUCCACGCCGCGGCGCAGCCAUGCGGAAGCCAGGCUUCCUUGCAGGGCCGCUCACAAGCCCAGACCUCGCUUCUCCCUGAAGCCCCCAUGUCCACCCGCGAAUGCACCAGACAUGGGAACACUGGACUGGCGCCUUCCCGGAAAUCCCCAGCCCUAGUCAGGAGCAGCCCGCGGGUCAGGCUCGGGGAUCCCCUGCCCCCACUGGCCCUCCACGGUCAGGGCUGCGAGUUCCAAGGCUCCCGGAACUCCUCUUCCCUGUCUCUUCUUGAGGAUGCGAACUUCCAGGAAGCCCUCCAGGACUGCAGCUCAGCUCGGCACCACUCCAGCCACACCCCAGUUCGAUCCAGUGGAGGGGCCGCUCCCUUCUGACCCGGAAAGGAGCCUGGUGGUGAAGACACGAGACACACAACAGAUGGAGCCUGAGACCUUUAACUCCAAACCCACUCGGCCCAUAAAUGUUGCUCCUGGACCAGGGGCAGAGGCCAGGGCAGGGAGUGGGGAGGACAGUAUUUCCAUCCAGGUGAGCAGUGACUCGCUAGGCCUGACUCCGAGAAGCUGUGUGGAGGAUAUCCCUGGGACGUGACUCCUGUUUCAGGUGCCUGGAGGAGUCGCCCCGCUGCGCCACGCCUGUCCACCUCUGGGCACUCCAGGCUCACAGUUGGAGGGCCUGUUCCGUGUCCUCUCCUCUCUCCCCUUUCCCCCUGACGAGGACGGGCAGCAGAGGGGCCCUGGGCUGUCCUGCUCCAGCGCCCUCAGUGGACCUCCCCUGGGCCCUGCCUUCCAGUCUCACACCACGCCAGUAUGGGCUGCACAUGCUGAAACCUCAGCUUCUCACUCUGCCCUUGGCCUUCGCCUUCCCGUCCCCCGACAGGGCCUGAUCCUCAGGACCCCCUGGGCCCCUGACUAUUGUGUCCACAGCCAGUUUGUGUUGGGGACUCCUCGUGGGUCUCCCACCAGGGGUCCAGGGCCUGCGCUCUCGUGGGCGGCUCAACCUCCUGACGGCGUCCUCUGGAAGCCAGGCAUGUUGGUCCAACAGACUCAGCCACAAUUAGCCCAUUCCUUGUCCCUGCCCUAUAAAUAUUCAUUCUUUGUGAUAAAGGUGCUUUUUAAAAAACGCAAAGCUCAUUUGGAGAAGGAACUGAACUGCUGCCAAACAUGGCUGCCAGGCUGAGCCCCACUGUGGAUGGAGAAAAGCCAUCACCAAGCUGCCUUUCUCAGGGGCCCACUCGGGCACUCUCUGGGGUUUUGUUUAAUUUGGGAUGGGUUUUGGCUCUUACACUCAGCAUUCAUAAAUGUCACAGCACUCUUGGGUUAUGAGUAGGAUCCGCAUGCUCCCCCGGGGUGCUGAGCCCCAAAGUCCUGGGCAGGCCAUGACCCCUGCCUGCAGGGACACUUCGCAUGGCCAUCCUCACAGUGUGCUGACUGCAGCCCCCACUCACACCCAAAGGGGCUUGGGCUGAUUGUCCUAAGUUGUCCAGAAGCCGGGUCUCGAUCCCCACACCCAGGAGCCCCAGUAAACAUAAAGAUGAGGUCCCCAGAGGUCUGUGGAUCUGGGUCUGAGGUAGAGGCGACCUUCUCCUCUGCCUGUGGAUGGGUGGCGAUGUUCAGGACCUGCUGUGAUAGCCGCAGGUGCGCUGUCAGGAGAGUGUGCGAUACCAGCCCCUGGUGCGGAGAGGCCCUGUGCUAGUGGCUCCUGAGCAGGCAUUCACUUAGCUGCCACCAAGUCCCAGAAACAAGCCCCAUGCCCAGUGGUGCUCUGACGCACUGGCCAGAGGAGCAGCCACUCUGCAGACACACCCCCGUGGCAGGGUCACAGUGGAGAUCUCUGCAGGGUACAAGAGGGUGGCUCUGACUUGACUAUAGGCUGGUUCUGAUGCACCGACUCGGGCUCUGUCUCCUUCCUAGUGGCUGCUCUGUCCUCAAUCCUGGCUCCACUGGACCUGUCCACCAAAGGCCAAUCGAGAGACCCCGUCCGUGUCCGUCUCUAUACUGGGGCACAGCGUGGUGUGUUCUGCUCAUAAUGGAGCAUCAUUGGCAAUGACAUUGUGAAGUCCUGGUUUCACCACAGAUUUUGCUGACAACCACCCCAGAGUCACAGGAGAUAGGAUGUCUGUGGCACUGACUUCCUGCCCUAGGACUUCCAAGUACUGUAACCAACUGGUCCCAGGUGCACACAGUGGCGUGGGUGGGGGUUGGUCUGAUGCUGUUUCUUUGGAAGAGAUUCUGAGAUAAUGGCCACAAAGUCGCUUGACAGAUUUAAUCUUGUGCCAUGCUCUGAGGUAGAGGACUUUCUAGCAUGCAUGAGGCCCUGGAUUCAACCCCUAGUAUCAAAAAAAGAAAAGAAAACAAAACAAAAGGAGCUGCCAUUUUGACCUGGCUCACCACAAUUCUAGAAAACCUUCUCUAACCCUCCUCCUCUGCCGCUUACACCACUUAGACCAGCAGGAUGGCGUCCCCAGGGCAGCCUCCUGGUGUAACAUCCCAGCUGGCCUUAGCCCAGAAGCUCUGGCUCUGUGGUAGGCAUGGUGCUGCUUCCCGGGACUCAGCUCUGCUCCUAGCAGGGAGCUCAGGUCUGCAGCUGUGCAGGAGACAAGUCUGCUGUGGCUCCUGCUCGUGAUCCGAUCCCCCAUGAUCUGCAGUGGACCCCAGCAUCCCACACACUGGCCUCACAGAGCCUCACCUAUUCCAAGGUCCCACCUGUCCCUUGGAAGAGGACCUGUAACAUCUUGGAAUGUCACCCAAAACAGCAGACUUGCUAAGGCAGCUCUGUGGGGACACAAUUCUGCUGAGGGGAAUGGGAACCAAAACUGGCUUCCCUUCGGCAUGUGGCUGUGGCUUGUCCUCCUUUCCGCUCCCCUGAGAGCACCGUUUCCCUCUGCCCU
rnacentral:lncRNA from 1 species